AGAUUCAUAAGCCCGUUGGACGGUUCGAUCUGAUCGAACGAGAGAGAAGAAAGAUACGUAAUCGACGUCCGGAGAAAAAGCUAGGCUUUCUCAGUCCUCGCUCGCUGCUCUCAAAUGGCAACAGGCAAGGGAGUUUGGGAGUGAUGGGAGCUCACACAACUCUGAUCCCAUUUUACCACAACCCCACCAAUUCUUGCCUUUUUUUGUCUGUUUGGAGGGAGCUUUUGCUGGGGCAUUUGGGGCAGGAAUCGGGUGUAUCUGUUUGAAACCGAAAUACUGGGGCCAAUCUUUUCUUUGUGCAAGUCAGGUUAUCAUGAAGGCUUGAAUAUUUGACUGAGUAGGGGAAGAAAAAAUUCUUACGCAAGUUCAAGUAUCAUUUAGUGCAUAUCUCACCACUCCCCUCAAUGGGAUCAAUACAAGAGGUCAGGUCCCCUGAUCAACCUUGAGGUCAAUUAAUGCCUGGAUGCAAUUCGUUGCAUAUGGAUGGAGGAAGAUGCACAGGGGAUGUUCAAAGAUAGCAGUCUUCUGGAUUAUACUAUCCACAGCUUCAGCUCCUACUUUUAACGGUUGUGGUAUUUGUGAGAGACCAUUUCAAAGGACUGAGAAUAAGCAAGAAGUUGCUAGCAAGUUAGUAGAGAAAAAGAAUCGCCUUCAGAAUGGGUGGAGUGAUAAAAUUGCACUGAAAUUUUUUUCGUAUCCCAUCUGGUUUGUUGAAUUGAUUGGGGCAUUUCCAUGUAUCGAAGUAAAUAUUUUGUAUGAGAAUUUGUGAACUGUUUUCAUGUAAUAUGUGUACAUACAUAUAAAGAUAAUGAAAAGAAGGUUUUUAUGUUGCUUUUCUA